UAGCCUAGUGGUUAAGGCUAUGGAUUGCCAAUCCAGAGACAGCGGGUUCGAUUUCCGU
rfam:Aedes albopictus isolate Foshan contig20962, whole genome shotgun sequence.